rnacentral:rRNA from 1 species
CAGCAGCAGCCGCGGGAAUACAGAGGGUGCGAGCGUUAAUCGGAUUUACUGGGCGUAAAGCGUGCGUAGGCGGCUUCUUAAGUCGGAUGUGAAAUCCCUGAGCUUAACUUAGGAAUUGCAUUCUAUACUGGGAAGCUAGAGUAUGGGAGAGGAUGGUAGAAUUCCAGGUGUAGCGGUGAAAUGCGUAGAGAUCUGGAGGAAUACCGAUGGCGAAGGCAGCCAUCUGGCCUAAUACUGACGCUGAGGUACGAAAGCAUGGGGAGCAAACAGGAUUAGAUACCCCCGUAGUCCCUGUCUCUUAUAC